rnacentral:lncRNA from 1 species
AGAGAGAAAAUAGAAAGAAGAAGAAUUUAGUAUAAAUAAAAUUGAGUUUGAGAAAAUAGAGAAAAGAAGAGUUUAAACGAUGUUGCUUUGGUUUGGAGAUAGAAGAGUUAUAUAGUGAGAUGAAUGCUAUCGAGAGAGAAAGAUGAGUUGAUGAGAGUGAUAUAGAGAGUUGUUGCUUUCGUAACUCUCGUUGCUUUGUGAUUAAAGAUGAGAUGAUGAGUUUGUUUGGUUUACGUAGAGAGAUAUAUAGAGAUAGCAAGUCACAUGAUGCAAGAUAACAAAACACAUAAAACAAAAGUACAAUUAUAGAAGUCACAUGAUGCAAGAGAAGUCACAUGAUGCAAGAGUACAAAGAUGCAAGAGUACAAACACACAAGAGUACAUGAUCCGUGACACAAAGCGUUGACACUACAAGACACACCAACAGACUGACCUUGUCCGACACUACAAGACACUCAACAGACUGAUCUGUCACGAGACACUCACUUUCUUCCCUUCCUCUUGUUACCAUCAUCCUUAGAGGAUUGUCCUUUCUCUUGCUUGAUUCCCGACUUCAACACUUUGAACUUCUCCUCUCUCAGCUUCAUCUCUUCCUCCUGCAUCCUUUCAAGCAUCCUCCUAACCCCUGGUUCAAUGUCAUCUUCUGAUUCCUC